rnacentral:rRNA from 1 species
UACGGGGGGGGCAAGCGUUGUUCGGAAUUACUGGGCGUAAAGGGCUCGUAGGCGGCCAACUAAGUCGGACGUGAAAGCCCUCGGCUUAACCGAGGAACUGCGUCCGAUACUGGAUGGCUUGAGGUUGGGAGAGGGAUGCGGAAUUCCAGGUGUAGCGGUGAAAUGCGUAGAUAUCUGGAGGAACACCGGUGGCGAAGGCGGCAUCCUGGACCAAUUCUGACGCUGAGUGAGCGAAAGCGUGGGGAGCAAACAGG